GGUGGUGGUGGUGGUGAUGAUGCAGGUAGAGCAGGCUGCCGGGGUGGUGGUGGUGGUGGUGAUGAUGGUGGUGGUGGUGGUGGUGAUGAUGCAGGUAGAGCAGGCUGUCGGGGUGGUGGUGGUGAUGAUGGUGGUGGUGGUGGUGGUGAUGAUGAUGCAGGUAGAGCAGGCUGCCGGGGUGGUGGUGGUGGUGGUGAUGAUGGUGGUGGUGGUGGUGGUGGUGAUGAUGCAGGUAGAGCAGGCUGUCGGGGUGGUGGUGGUGGUGAUGAUGCAGGUAGAGCAGGCUGCCAGGGUGGUGGUGGUGGUGAUGAUGGUGGUGGUGGUGGUGAUGAUGCAGGUAGAGCAGGCUGCCGGGGUGGUGGUGGUGGUGAUGAUGGUGGUGGUGGUGGUGAUGAUGCAGGUAGAGCAGGCUGCCGGGGUGGUGGUGGUGAUGAUGCAGGUAGAGCAGGCUGCCGGGGUGGUGGUGGUGGUGAUGAUGCAGGUAGAGCAGGCUGCCGGGGUGGUGGUGGUGGUGAUGAUGCAGGUAGAGCAGGCUGUCGGGGUGGUGGUGGUGGUGAUGAUGCAGGUAGAGCAGGCUGCCAGGGUGGUGGUGGUGGUGAUGAUGGUGGUGGUGGUGGUGAUGAUGCAGGUAGAGCAGGCUGCCGGGGUGGUGGUGGUGGUGAUGAUGCAGGUAGAGCAGGCUGCCGGGGUGGUGGUGGUGGUGAUGAUGCAGGUAGAGCAGGCUGCCAGGGUGGUGGUGGUGGUGGUUGUGAUGAUGGUGGUGGUGGUGGUGAUGAUGCAGGUAGAGCAGGCUGCCGGGGUGGUGGUGGUGGUGAUGAUGCAGGUAGAGCAGGCUGCCGGGGUGUUGGUGGUGGUAGUGGUGGUGGUGGUGGUGGUGAUGAUGCAGGUAGAGCAGGCUGCCGGGGUGGUGGUAAUGGUGAUGAUGGUUAAAUCAAAUCCAACUUUAUUUGUAACAUGCGCCGAAUACAACAGGUGUAGACCUUACAGUGAAAUGCUUACUUACAAGCCCUUUACCAACAGUGCAGUUUAAGAAGAGUUAAGAAAAUAUUUACCAAAUAAACUAAAGUUAAAAAUAAUGAAAAGUAACACAAAAUAACAAUAACGAGGCUAUAUACAGGGCGCACUGGUAUCGAGUCAGUGUGUGGAGGUACAGGUUAGUUGAGGUAAUUUGUACAUGUAGGUAGGGGUGAAGUGACUAUGCAUAGAUAAUACACAGUGAGUAGCAGCAGCUUAAAAACCAAUGGGUCAAUGUAAAUAGUCUGGUGGUCAUCUGAUGAAUUGUUCAGCAGUCUUAUGGCUUGGGGGUAGAAGUUGAUAAGGAGCCUUUUGGUCUUAGACUUUACGCUCCGUUACCGCUUGCCGUGCGGUAGCAGAGAAAACACCGCCUAGCAUAUAGGUCCUGGGUGGCAGGAAGCUUGACCCCAGUUAUGUACUGGGCCGUACGCACUACCUUCUGUAGUGCCUUAUGGUCAGAUGCAGAGCAGUUACCAUACCAGGCAGUGAUGCAACUGGUCAGGAUGCUCUCGAUGGUGCAACUGUAGAACAAUUUGAGGAUCUGGGGACCCAUGCCAAAUCUUUUCAGUCUCCUGAGGGGGAAAAGGUGUUGUCGUGCCCUCUUCACGACUGUCUUGGUGUGUUUGGAACAUGAUAGUUCGUUGGUGAUGUGGACACCAAGGAACUUGAAACUCUCGACCCGCUCCACGACAGCCCUGUCGAUUUUAAUGGGGCCUGUUUGGCCUACCUUUUCCUAUAGUCCACAAUCAGCUCCUUUGUCUUGCUCAUAUUGAGGGAGAGGUUGUUGUCCUGGCAGUCUCUGACCUCCUCCCUAUAGGCUGUCUCAUCAUUGUCGGUGAUCAGGCCUACCAACUAUUGUGUUGUCAGCAAACUUAAUGAUGGUGUUGGAGUUGUGUUUGGCCACGCAGUCGUGGGUGAACAGGAUGUAAAGAGGGGACUAAGCACCCCCCUUGAGGGGCCCCAGUGUUGAGGAUCAGCAUAGCAGAUGGGUUGUUGCCAACACUUACCACCUGGGGAGCAGCCCGUCAGGAAGUCCAGGAUCCAGUUGCAGAGGGAGGUGUUUAGUCCCAGGGUCCUGGGAAGUGAUGAGCUUUGUGGGCACUAUGGUGUUGAAUGCUGAGCUGUAGUCAAUGAACAGCAUUCUCACAUAUGCGGUCCUUUUGUCCAGGUGGGAAAGGGCAGUGUAGAGUGCGGUUGACAUUGCGCCAUCUGUGAAUAUGUUGGGGCGGUAUGCAAAUUGGAGUGGGUCUAGUUUAUCCGGGAGGAUGUUGUUGAUGUGAGCCAUGACGAGCCUUUCAAACUUCAUGGUUACCGACAUGAGUGCUACGGGGCAGUAAUCAUUUAGGCAGGUUACCUUCGCUUCUUUGGGCACAGGGAUUAUGAUGGUCUGCUUGAAACAUGUAGGUAAUACAGACUCAGACAGGGAGAGGUUGAAAAUGUCAGUGAAGACACUUGCCAGUUGGUCUGCGCAUGCUUUGAGUACAUGUUCUUGUAAUCCAUCUGGCCCACCGGCUUUGUGAAUGUUGACCUGUUUAAAGGUCUUGCUCUCAUCGGCCACCGAGAGCGUUAUCACACAGCCGUCCAGAACAGCUGGUGCUCUCAUAUAUGCUUCAGUGUUGCUUACCUCGAAGCGAGCAUAAAAGGUAUUUAGCUCGUCUGGUAGGCUCGUGUCACUGGGACACUCGAUGCUGGUUUUCCCUUUAUAAUCCGUAAUAGUUUUCAAGCCCUGCGUCGGAGCCGGUGUAGUAAGAUUCAAUCUUAAUCCUGUAUUGAUGCUUGCUUGUUGAUGGUUCGUCAGAGGGCAUAGCGGGAUUUCUUAUAAGCGUCCAGAUUAGUGUCCCGCUCCUUGAAAGCAGCAGCUCUAGCCCUUAGCUCGAUGCGGAUGUUGCUUGUAAACAAUGGCUUCUGGUUGGGAUAUGUACAUACGGUCACUGUGGGGACGACGCCGUCGUCGAUGCACUUAUUGAUGAAGCCGAUGACUGAGAUGGUAUAUUCCUCAAUGCCAUUUGAUGAAUCGUGGAGAUUUUCCAGUCUGUGCUAGCAAAACAGUCCUGUCGCAUAGCAUCCGCGUCAUCUGACCAGUUCCGUAUUGAGCGAGUCAUGUGUACCUCCUGCUUAAGUUUUUGCUUGUAAGCAGGAAUCAGGAGAUUAGAAUUAUGUCCAGAUUUACCAAAUGGAAGGCGGGGGAGAGCUUUGUGUGUGUGGAGUAAAGGUGGUCUUGAGGUUUUUUUUCUCUGGUUGCACAUGUGACAUGCUGAUAGAAAUGAGGUAAAACGGAUUUAAGUUUGACUGCAUUAAAGUCCCCGUGCACUAGGAGCGCCGCUUCUGGAUGAGUAUUUUCUUCUUCGCUUAUGGCCUUAUACAGCUGGUUGAGUGAAGUCUUAGUGCCAGCAUCAGUUUGUGGUGGUAAAUAGAAAGCUACAAAUAAUAUAGAUGACAACUCUCUUGGUGGAUAGUGUGGUCUUCAGCUUAUCAUAAGGUACUCUACCUCAGGCAAGCCCUACAUGAAAAUAUUUACCGUGU
rnacentral:lncRNA from 1 species